UACGUAGGGUGCGAGCGUUAAUCGGAAUUACUGGGCGUAAAGCGUGCGCAGGCGGUUUUGUAAGCCAGAUGUGAAAUCCCCCGGGCUUAACCUGGGAAUGGCAUUUGGGACUGCAAGGCUGGAGUGUGGCAGAGGAGACUGGAAUUCCUGGUGUAGCAGUGAAAUGCGUAGAUAUCAGGAGGAAUACCGAUGGCGAAGGCAGGUCUCUGGGCUGACACGUGACGCUCAUGCACGAAAGCGUGGGGAGCAAACAGG
rnacentral:rRNA from 1 species